UCCCGGGUCGUAUAAGGGCAAUACCUUUGAUUUUGGUUCAAAUGAUGGGGGUUCGAGUCCUCCCCCGGGAGC
rnacentral:tRNA from 1 species